CCCUAGUAACGGCGAGCGAAGCGGCAACAGCUCAAAUUUGAAAUCUGGCUACUUUGUAGUCCGAGUUGUAAUUUGUAGAGGAUGCUUUUGGUGAGGUGCCUUCCGAGUUCCCUGGAACGGGACGCCAGAGAGGGUGAGAGCCCCGUACGGUUGGAUACCAAACCUUUGUAUAGCUCCUUCAACGAGUCGAGUAGUUUGGGAAUGCUGCUCUAAAUGGGAGGUAUAUCUCUUCUAAAGCUAAAUAUAGGCUAGAGACCGAUAGCGCACAAGUAGAGUGAUCGAAAGAUGAAAAGCACUUUGAAAAGAGAGUUAAACAGCACGUGAAAUUGUUGAAAGGGAAGCGCCUAUGACCAGACUUGUUUCUUUCAGUUUUGUUAGUUCUCGGACUGAUUUACUCUGUUAGUACAGGCCAGCAUCAGUUUGUUGUCGGGGAGAAAGGCUUAGGGAAUGUGGCUCCUUCGGGAGUGUUAUAGCCCUUUGCAUAAUACCCUUCGGCAGACUGAGGACCGCGCUUCGGCAAGGAUGCUGGCGUAAUGGUCAUCAGCGACCCGUCUUGAAACACGGACCAAGGAGUCAACCUUAUGUGCGAGUGUUUGGGUGUAAAACCCCAGCGCGUAAUGAACGUGAACGUAGGUGAGAGCUUCGGCGCAUCAUCGACCGAUUCUGAUGUUCUCGGAUGGAUUUGAGUAAGAGCACACAGGGUUGGACCCGAAAGAAGGUGAACUAUGCUUGUAUAGGGUGAAGCCAGAGGAAACUCUGGUGGAGGCUCGCAGCGGUUCUGACGUGCAAAUCGAUCGUCAAAUAUGAGCAUGGGGGCGAAAGACUAAUCGAACCUUCUAGUAGCUGGUUCCAG
rnacentral:rRNA from 1 species